rnacentral:rRNA from 1 species
GCUGAGUAACACGUAGGUGAUCUGCCCUGAAGUGGGGGAUAACGACUCGAAAGAGUCGCUAAUACCGCAUGUGACCACCGAUCCGUUUUCGGUGCUCAAAGUCGUAAGACGCUUUAGGAGGAGCCUGCGGCGGAUUAGCUAGUUGGUGAGGUAAUGGCCCACCAAGGCUUCGAUCCGUAGCUGGUCUGAGAGGAUGGCCAGCCAGACUGGGACUGAGACACGGCCCAGACUCCUACGGGAGGCAGCAGUUAGGAAUUUUGCGCAAUGGGGGAAACCCUGACGCAGCCACGCCGCGUGCGGGAUGAAGGCCUUCGGGUCGUAAACCGCCUUUCUCGAGGAAGACACCCGACGGUACUCGAGGCAUAAGCAACGGCUAACUACGUGCCAGCAGCCGCGGUAAUACGUAGGUUGCGAGCGUUGUCCGGAUUUACUGGGCGUAAAGCGCGCGCAGGCGGUUCCGAAAGUCGAAUGUGAAAGCUCCCGGCCCAACUGGGAGAGGCCGUUCGAAACUUCGGGACUUGAAGGCGGGAGAGGCAGAUGGAAUUUCCGGUGUAGCGGUAAAAUGCGUAGAUACCGGAAGGAACACCAGUGGCGAAAGCGAUCUGCUGGCCCGCCCUUGACGCUCAGGCGCGAAAGCUAGGGGAGCGACCGGGAUUAGAUACCCCGUUAGUCCUAGCCGUAAACAAUGGGCACUAG